AUUGAACGCUGGCGGCAGGCCUAACACAUGCAAGUCGAGCGGAUGAGUGGAGCUUGCUCCAUGAUUCAGCGGCGGACGGGUGAGUAAUGCCUAGGAAUCUGCCUGGUAGUGGGGGACAACGUUUCGAAAGGAACGCUAAUACCGCAUACGUCCUACGGGAGAAAGCAGGGGACCUUCGGGCCUUGCGCUAUCAGAUGAGCCUAGGUCGGAUUAGCUAGUAGGUGAGGUAAUGGCUCACCUAGGCGACGAUCCGUAACUGGUCUGAGAGGAUGAUCAGUCACACUGGAACUGAGACACGGUCCAGACUCCUACGGGAGGCAGCAGUGGGGGAAUAUUGGACAAUGGGCGCAAGCCUGAUCCAGCUAUGCCGCGUGCAGGAUGACGGUCCUAUGGAUUGUAAAGCACUUUAAGUUGGGAGGAAGGGUAGUAACCUAAUACGUUGCUACUUUGACGUUACCGACAG
rnacentral:rRNA from 1 species